AUUGAACGCUGGCGGCAUGCCUUACACAUGCAAGUCGAACGGUAACAGGUCUUCGGAUGCUGACGAGUGGCGAACGGGUGAGUAAUACAUCGGAACGUGCCCGAUCGUGGGGGAUAACGGAGCGAAAGCUUUGCUAAUACCGCAUACGAUCUACGGAUGAAAGCAGGGGACCGCAAGGCCUUGCGCGGACGGAGCGGCCGAUGGCAGAUUAGGUAGUUGGUGGGAUAAAAGCUUACCAAGCCGACGAUCUGUAGCUGGUCUGAGAGGACGACCAGCCACACUGGGACUGAGACACGGCCCAGACUCCUACGGGAGGCAGCAGUGGGGAAUUUUGGACAAUGGACGCAAGUCUGAUCCAGCAAUGCCGCGUGCAGGACGAAGGCCUUCGGGUUGUAAACUGCUUUGUACGGUAACGAAAGACCUUCUUCUAAUACAGAGGGUCAUGACGGUACCGUAAGAAUAAGACACCGGCUACUACGUGCCAGCAGCCGCGGUAAACG
rnacentral:rRNA from 1 species